GAAAUGUGGUGACCAAGAAGAAGCUGCUAACUUCUACCUUUAGCGGUUAAACUCCGUUUACAUUUCU
rnacentral:tRNA from 1 species